rnacentral:lncRNA from 1 species
UAUGGGGUCUCUAUGCGGUCCCUAUGGGGCUGGGAGCUGAGUAUGGGGUCUCUAUGGGGUCCUUAUGGGGCUGGGAACUGAGUAUGGGGUCUCUAUGGGGCUGGGAACUGAGUAUGGGGUCUCUAUGGGGCUGGGAGCUGAGUAUGGGGUCUCUAUGUGGUCCCUAUGGGGCUGGGACCUGAGUAUGGGGUCUCUAUGGGGCUGGGAACUGAGUAUGGGGUCCCUAUGGGGCUGUGGGGCAGGGGGUCUGAGUCUCUAUGGGUCUCUAUGGGGUGUCUGUGGGGCAGCCAUGGGGCAGCCCCACACGUUCGCCAGGCGCUGGAGGCGCGGCCCAGCCCUGGGCUGUGGGUCUCUAUGGGAUCUCUAUGGGAUCUCUAUGGGGCAUCUAUGGGGUGUCUAUGGGGCAGCCAUGGGGCAGCUAUGGGGCAGCCAUGGGUCAGCCCCACACGUUCGCCAGGCGCUGGAGGUGCGGCCCAGCCCCAGGCUCUGGAUCUCUAUGGGAUCUCUAUGGGUGUCUAUGGUGUCUCUAUGGGGCAUCUAUGGGGCAGCCCCACAUGUUCCCCAGGCACUGGAGGCGCGGCCCAGCCCGGGCUGUGGGUCUCUAUGGGAUCUCUAUGGGUGUCUAUGGUGUCUCUAUGAGGUCUCUAUGGGGCAUCUAUGGGGUGUCUAUGGGGUGUCUAUGGGGCAGCCAUGGGGCAGCUAUGGGGCAGCCAUGGGGCAGCCCCACACGUUCCCCAGGCUCUGGAGGCGCAGCCCAGCCCCAUGCUCUGGAUCUCUAUGGGAUCUCUAUGGGUGUCUAUGGGGUCUCUAUAGGAUCUUUAUGGGGCAUCUAUGGGGUGUCUAUGGGGCAGCUAUGGGGCGGCUAUGGGGCAGCCAUGGGUCAGCCCCACACGUUCGCCAGGCGCUGGAGGCGCGGCCGAGCCUGGGGCUCUGGGUCUCUGUGGGUCUCUAUGGGUGUCUAUGGUGUCUCUAUAGGGUCUUUAUGGGGCAGCUAUGGGGUAUCUAUGGGGCAGCUAUGGGGCGGCUAUGGGGCAGCCAUGGGUCAGCCCCACACGUUCCCCAGGCGCUGGAGGCGCGGCCGAGCCCUGGGCUGUGGGUCUCUAUGGGAUCUCUAUGGGAUCUCUAUGGGAUCUC